rnacentral:lncRNA from 1 species
UCAACUUUCUCAGAGGGAACUGCUCCACUCCGGGAUUUGCCCAAUCUUGCCCACACCCUGAGUCCCAGGUUGGGAGAGAAUCAGGAAUCGAAGCCCCUUCCACGCUCACAAAGCCCCUCUCCCGAUGCCCGCCAACUUGAAAGCAUCUCUCUGGUGCCUGCCUAGUCCUCCCGCCCGUAGCCAAGCCCCUGCCUUGGCCGCCCGCAACCAACAGAGCCCCAGGCUCCCCAACAGUAGCUGCAGCUGCAACCGCAUACCCCCCGGGCCGGGCCUCCACCUCGCCCUACCGUGCAGCCUGGUUAGUGCCCUGGCCGGUGCCAGCGCGCGGCACGCGUCUCAGCUGGCUAGACUCCUCCCCAGGGGCUGCCCCGCGCAGGGCUCCGGGCUCCGGACAAGGCUCGGCCGGCCCUGGCGCUGGCUCGCCGCUGCUCGCGGCUCCAGCGCGGGCUCCUGCUGCCGCGCGCGAAGAGGGAGGGGUGCGGGGGAAACUCCCGGCAACUCCAACUCCGGGCUCUGAAGCUCCAGCUGCAGCCGCGCGCCCGCCCGCCGCCGAAUGCGAGCGCCUGCAAAGCAAACCUGCCCCCGCGGUCGCCUCUGAGCAUGCCCAGUGCCGCCAUGGGCGAGCCCGAGCGCCCUAGCCCGGGGCAAAGUGCAGCGGCAGGGGCCCAGGAACUCGCCCCAGGCUACAGAGCACAGGGGGAAGGGGGUGGAAGGGAGGAUCAAGAGCGCGGGCUCGCAGCAGAGGACCUGGAACAAACUGGUCAGUGUGUACAAGGCAAUGUGAGUUUCAUGGGUUGUGGGAAGUUUGUGGGCUAGAAAGAUGGAUUGCUUCUGUGAGCCUCUCUGGAAGACUAUAUUCGAAAGAACAACCAGAAAACAUUUAUUCUCCGGGAAAGAAAGAGUGGGCCCUGCAGAUAGGUUUUUAUCCAGUCUCCAUGCCUAGGGUGGCAAACUCAGAGAGCUAAGGGGACCUGAUUAGCAGUCAAUAUAAAUUAGUAAAGUGAGUGGGAAGAGGUGAACUGAGAGAUCAUUAAGGGCAAGGCCACUGUUCUGCUCUAGAUGUCCAUUGCUGUCGUGCAAGAAUUCAGACCAAAUUUUGCUGGAUUUUCUGAUUUUUUAAGAAAUGGCAGAGAUGUCAGUUUUCUUCAUGUAAAAUAUUCUUGUUAUUAAAUCUUGAUAACAAAUACAAUUUUGUUUUCAAAAACUAAACCGAUCAUAGCUGUGUCCUUUCCCUGCUCAGCCAGUUUGAGCCAAUGAAUUCUGCAUUCUUGUACUGGAGAGGUAUUGAGUGCCCACUGUGGUUGGGAAGGUUCGGGAAAAGAUCCAAGAUGAUUCAGACUGCUUUCAAAGUACUAGGGGAAAUAGGAUUUUCCUGACAGAGAGCUACUGAUAAAUGCUGGAGCAUUCAAGGAGAGGUAGGUAAUGUACAAAGUGGUUGUGAGUACUAAGUUUAAGAAAGCAUCAUCGAUAAAAGUACCUGUGUGGAAAGUCACUGCAAGAUAGGUAACAAAGCCCAUGGGAGGCAUUUUGGAGUCUGAAGCAAAAGGAAAUAUCAUGAACACUAAUCCUGUCUUUAUUUGAAUUUUUUUCAUGAAAUAUUUUUCAUCAUUCCUUUUUUUACUAGCUUAGAAUUUUUUAAUUCUAAAAAAUCACCCCCUACAUACAAAGUGCCUUCUAAUUCAUAUCAUUAAAAUAUUAACAUUCAAUACUGAGUUCUUUGGCAAACCUUCAAAUUGUGGGUCCUACUUCACCCUGGACUGGCCCUACUUGGUUUGAGUAAAAGGAGCAAGAAUUAGCAUACCAAAAUAGGAAAGAGGGUUGCAGAAAUGGCUGGGGUCUCAGGCAUAGGGCCUGAUUUCCAGUGUGUGCAGCCUACAAUUUAUUUGUAGGCUCUGUGGAGAAGAGAGUAGGAGAAGAAAGUGGCAUAAUCCAUACUGAACUCUGGUUAGAUGGGCCCAACAGUAGAACUAGGAAGAUGGUUUGGAGGGGAAGAAUGGGAGAAAUGGGGAUACCUAAGGUAUCUUCACUGUUUCAUGAAAAUCAGAGGAUUUCCCUGAUAAAGUCAUGUAGGCUUUGCCAAGUCUCUGAAGGACACAUGCAGGGUCUAGCUUAGUUGAUCUUAAAAUGAAUAAGUGAUCUUAAAGGAAUUUGGGGCUAGGGAUAUAGCUUAGUGGUAGAAUGAUUGCCUAACAUGCAUGAGGCCCUCCUGGUAUUGAUGCCCAGCAACACACGCACACUGAGAAAGAAACAGAAAGAGAAAAAAAAAUGUAACAACCAGGAAGAUCUUCCAGAUCCUGUUCUAACCUCAACCAUUUCCCUAUCAUGUUUAGAGGUGGAUGAAUGACUCCACCUCUAAGCUGUGCUUUCCUUCCUUGCGAAAUGGAAAACAAUUCUCACAGUGUUCCUGUGAGGAUUUAGAGAAAGAGUGUAUGUCUAAGGGUUUUAGAAUGUUGAGAGUUAAGCAAAUAGAAGUUACUGUUUUUAAUUACAUAUCAUCUAUAUAAAAUCUGAAUUGAAAUGAGAAAUUCCUACUGUUUUACAAAAGUUGUCUUUAAGUAAGCAAGCUUCAUUGAUUCAACAAGAUAUUUUAAUGUGUUGGGAUGCUGUUUAUAAUACUUUGGAAUCAGCUUUUGGGUAAUUGAACAAUUUUGUCAUUUAAGGCAUUCCUAUAAUAUUCUAGUUCCCAUUGACAGUCACCUCUUUUUUCCUCACGGUCUUCUUUUUUUAUCUUUUCUUUCUCAAUAUUGAAGGUCUCAUCAAGAUCACCCCCUCCAUACAAAGUGCCUUCUAAUUCAAAUGCAGGCCAGCACUGUAGUGUCUGCCUCAUCCAGACACCUGGGACCUACCUCAGUGCUGUGCUGUGAGUGAUUUUUCCCUGCAGGUGAGCACAUCAGUUGCUGCAUUCAUGGGGAACAGACCAGACUGGCACUUAUCUAUGGGAAGCAUUUUAAGCAUGCCAAACUCUCAAAGGGGAAAAAAAAAGAAUGCUUGGGUGUUUACACAAAAAUCCUUCCAGAAGUUAUGGAAAAGAGGAAGUACCUAGCCCAGAACCUAUCACAUAACAGGUAGUUACAAAUAUUUGCAAAAUAAAUAGCAGUUUCCAUCAUCAAAAUCUUCUUUGUCUCUGUUCCACCUCCCACAGUUCCUAAGAAUUAUUAUUUUUAAAAAUCACAAUAAUGAUAAGGUCAUCAAAAAGAACAAGAACAGGAUGUAAACAUUUAUAUAGGGAGGGGUUCUGUGCUUUUACAAGUAAAAUACUUUUCUUACAUUUUAUGUGUUUGUUUAGUUUGGGUGCUGGGGAUAAAACCGUGGCCUCAUGCAUGUUAAGUACGUGUUUUACGACUGAGUUACACCACCAGCCCUCUCUGCUUAAAUUUUAAGUUAAUUGUAUUUUUAAUUAUUAUUAAUAAAUAAUACAUGGUAUAAAGGAAAUACAGUACAAAAACCAGCUCAGUUCAGAAGAAAAACAAUUUCCCUCCCCAAGAACUACUAUUGUUGCCUGUUUCUUACAUACAAUUAUAGAAAUACCAUAUGCAUGUCACUGCAAGCAUAGCUGUUCUUUUUAUUUUUAAAGUACAAUCAUGAAAUGAUAGAAUUGAUAAAAAAAAAAAAACCUUCUAGUUGUAGAUCUACGGUUCAAUCUCUGAUUCAAAAUGUCCUUGUAUUGUGAGAAAGAAAAGGAAAAUAUAAAAGUGAUCUUCCCUGUGGCGCUAGUAAACUCAUGGCUGUAAGGACAUGGGACCACAUGGCAAACCCUCCUGUUAGCAUUUAGUGAUGCAUGAAAAAAUUGAGUCCAUCUAGAGUCACCCUGAACUCCCUAAUGCCCACUGUGAACCUCACCCUAAAACACCUAUGUAUUUAGAUAUCUCACGUUGCCUAGGGCUAUGGACAGACAUGCUGUUGAAAUAGCAAAUGGAAUAAAUUGAGAUGGACACAGAGCUUGAACCAGGGAACUGGGCAUUAUAACAUAACUAUUUUUAACAGCAUCACUUAUGAUAUAACAUCAUCAAUCACAGUAUGUCUUCAAGACUAGCAAAGUCUAUAUAUUAUUUUUAAACUCCUCUACUACCCAGCAUAGCUAGUAGCUUUUCAAUUUUUUAAUUCUUAUGAUGUGACUUCAGAUAAGGAAAAUCAGGAAUCCAUCCACUUAUCAACUUGUAGGUUAAACCAUAUCAAACUGUCAUUUUUGUUGGUCACAGUAUCUUGAAUAUUUAGAAUUUCAUGUUUCAACCUUCAUUACAUUCUUCCAAAGUUGUCUUUGUUUUUAGAACCAGAAGAAUCCUUAUUCCUUGGAAUAACAUUCAUUUUCCUACAAAAGCCAUGUCACUAAAGUAGUGCUGAGCAAUCUAUUUGAUUCCUAAGGUUUUAUAAUAGGACCUGAUCAGGUCUUGGUUGCUGGGCUGAUUCUAUGCAGAGCAAAGAGGAAGAAAUUUCUCUCUCUCUCAUGAGGAGAACAGCACCAGCCUUGAUUGGUCUUGAAAUGGGUACAAAUAUUGUCAGCCUCUUUCUAUUCUUUUUGCACCUUACUUCCCCAGAAUUCUCCUGAAACCCUUUUCCAUGUAUUUGUCCUCUUCAUUCUGGCCUUAAUUUUCCUAUCUCAGCUUGCCUGUUACUUCCUAUUUUUAAGAAUCAACAUUCUGGGCUGGGGAUGUGGCUCAAGCGGUAGCGCACUCGCCUGACAUGCGUGCGGCCCGGGUUCGAUCCUCAGCACCACAUACAAACAAAGAUGUUGUGUCUGCCGAAAACUAAACAAUAAAUAUUUUAAAAAAAAUUCUAAAACAAACAAACAACAAAAAAGAAUCAACAUUCUUUUAGUAUACUUCAAGUGAGAACUGAGUAAACUAACUCAGUUAAAUUAUUUCACAUUCAUAUGUGGAAGGUUAUCAACCUUUCCAAAGAUAUGUGCAAUAUAAAAGUAUCUUGUGGUCUUAAAGGAAUUUGAGGCUAGGGAUAUAGCUUAGUGGUAAAGUGAUUGCCUAACAUGCAUGAGGCCCUGGUAUUGAUGCCCGGCAGCACACGCACAUGGAGAAAGAAACAGAGAAAAAAAAUGUAACAAGAAAGAACUCUGGAGUUAAGAGUAGAAAGAAUGUAUUGAGGAAGGGAAGAAAUUGGAUUCCUUGUUAUUCUACUCUUAAUAAUUUCUUCCCAUCCUCCUUCUUCAAAACUAUGGAUUCUUUUAAAGCUUUAGGUUUUAUUUAGCUUUUCACAGUAGCUCCCUUGGCAGUAGCAGCAAGCGUCCCCAGGCUAGUGGUAGAUGUUGAAUGUAUGUGUCAUCUGUAAGUUGGGAAUGAAAUCUGUCACUUUUGGUGACAUUGAUACGGUGAGGUCUGGGAGAUCUGCAGAAUUCAGAUGGGCUCCUAGAGCUUGUGCUUGAGUUCCUAUUCUGUUCCCCACACAGCUAACCUUGGUCUGUGGUUUCAUCAAAACUUUAAGGAUGCUAGCUAGUUUAUAACUGGAGCCCACCCUUUUUUUAUGACUGAAUUGUCAUAAAAUAGCCUGUCACUAAUUUACUAAAUAUACAAUUUCUUUCUCUUCUAUGCUUUUGAGAGCCAGCAUAGCCAGGCACUGUGGCUUGUGCCUCUAAUCCCAGCUACUCAGAAUGUGCAAGACACUGGGUUUAAUUCUCAGCACUGCAUAUAAAUAAAUUAAAGAUCCAUCAACAACUAAAAAAUAAAAAAAUUGAAAAAAAAUUUUUUUAAAGAGCUGGGGAGUCGCUCAGUGAUUGAGCACCCCUGAGUUCAACUCCCAAUUCUGAAGGAAUAUAAAAAAAAAAGAGCCAGCAUAAGUGUUGACUAUUGACAUCAAAUCUGAUUACCUCAGCCCACUACCAUACACUUGAAAAUGGAAUAUUUCUGAAAGCCAUGGCAGAUUUCAGAUCUUGUUUCUUCCCUCUCACCUCUGACAGUCUUCUACUGACCUCCAACUUCUUCCUACUUCUCUAAUUAUAUUACUUUAUCCCCUGCGCUGCUUCAGGUUUCAUAUAUCAACAUACUGAUAAGACAAAGACUAGGAAGGAGAUGGUUUCUUGAGGAAAAAAAUAAAAAUAAAACCAAAACAAUUUUUGUCUUGCAAAAAAGACUUGAUUACAUCCCGAAUUUGGUUAUUCUGUAAUAUUUUUAAAAUUCUUAACCACAUCUUUCCAAAUAGAUGGUGAGUCCCUUGAGAGCUGGGAAAAGUCUUAGGAGUCUUCUGUCUCCCCUCACCCAAUGCCUAGCACAGAGGCAGGAGCCCAACAAAAAAAAAUAAUAGUUAGAACCUGCCUUCUUUUGGGUAAGUCAUCAGGGACAGGAGACAAAGUUCAUUUUAGAGAUAUCUGCAAUGAGUUUUACAAUCAAAAGGUACAUUGUGCUAUUGAAAGUUCAGAGUAAAAAUAGUGGUCAAAGGAAGACAGACUUUUUUGAAGAAAUAAUGAUUAAGCUGAAGUCUGCAGAAUAAAUCUGAAGUAGUUAUAUUAGAGAAAUAUACAGGCAAACAAGAAGCCAAGAAAGAAUUUUAGGCAGAGAAAACAGCAUGUCCAAGGGGUGCUGCAUUGGAAGGGUAUAUGUAAAGGUUGAAAGGGAUCUCAAAGGUCUUUAGAUUUAACCUAUUACUGACUUCACAGAUUUUCCAAUGCAACUCAACACUAAUAAGAACUGCUACCAUAAAGAGGCACACUGUCCUCAGCAAGAGACAUCAAACAAUCGAGUGUGAAGAAGCAGCGUACCAUGGGAAAAAGAACAUGGAUUUCAUAUUAGACAGAUUUGGUCCGAAACUGUUUCAACUCCUACUUUAGAAUCUUGGGCAAAAUCCACAACCUAUCUAACCAUUAGAUUUGUUAUCUCUAGAUAUUCAUAUUACUAUCUAUUUAUAGUUUUAAUUAGAGUAUAUCAUGCUAAGCGAAAUAAGCCAAUCCCCAAAACCAAAGGCUAAAUGUUUUCUCUAAUAUGCGGAUGCUAAUUCUCAAUAAGGGAGACAGGGCACUAGAGAAGAAUAGAGUUUCCUUAGAUUAGUUAGAGGGAAGUGGAGGGGAGUGGAUAAGAAGGAUAGUAGAACAAAACAGACAUUAUUACUUUAUGUAUAUAUGUGACUGCAUAACCAAUGGGAUUCUACAACAUGUACACUCAGAAAAAUGAGAAAUUAUAUCCCAUCUAUGUAUGAUAUAUCAAAGUGCAUAAAUGCAUUCUACUGUCAUGUAUAACUAAUUAAAACAAAUAAGAAUAUUUAAAAAAAAGGGAAAACAUACAUAAUAUACUUAGCACAAUACCUGGCCCACAGAAAACAUUGAAUAAAUAUUGCUAUUUUCAGCCCAUGACCACCAAUCUAGGGCACCCCAAGAAAUAUGAGAUCAGAAAACCAAAAGUGUUUUGAACUUCCAACCCAAGCUGUUGCUUAGAAGCACUGCCUCUGCCAUAGGCAAUCGUAUUUUAUCUCCACAGAUGCAAAAUAGCAUCACUGUUUUUACAAAAACAACUUUCUAUACAUAAAAAGUGCUUUUUAAAAAAUGUCCAGCUCCUCCUGUCCAGAUGUCCUUGUGUUUCCAUCUGUUACGAGAGUUGCAAGAUAAUGUAAAUUAACAGUUUGGAGAUUUCAGCCUUUGUGUUUAUGACUCAAUUAAGACUAAGAAAUUCUUUCUAUACCAAAUAUUAGUCUUUUAGAGUGACUAGUUAUGAAUUUCGGUCCAAAAGAGUGAAAUACAACUAAUUUCUCAUUUCUUGAAUUACUAGAAUUAAAAGUAUUAUAUCAUCUAGCAGAAACGUUGAAAAAUAUACAAAGGUUGUUGAAACCACCCUCUGCAGCAGCAGAGCCUCCAUCUUAACAUGGAUGUAUCUUGUUGUUAAGUUCAAAGUUUGGAAGACUGAAGCAUCUUAAUCACUGCUUCCUUUUAUUUCAGUAAUAUUUUUGAAAGACCUAUUUUUGGUUUUAAAAUGACUCUGUCUCCACCAAGAUCCAGAAAAGCUGCUAAGCUUUGAGCUAACAAAGAAUCCCUUAUUCUGCCGGGACACAAGUGAGUCAGUGACCACACAAAGCUACUAUCUCACCCAGAAUUUCUGAGCUGCUUUUUUAGAGAAGAGAGAAGGACACAAUCCAUCCACAGCCUGAGAUGGACAGGUCUCCUGUAUUAUGUACAGCAGCUCUUUCUCUUUUUUGUUAUGGUCCCUGACCAUACCACAGCCCAGGAGACUAAAGAUAACAACAAGCUCCUGCUGCUGCUUAGUCCCCAGAAGCUCUCCAGGCCUGAAGGACCUGCUCAGUCCUGUCACUUCUCACUGCUCCUGCCUCAUCAUGGAAACAUAAGCCCUAGGAGUUGCUACUCAAAGCACACUUCUCCGACUAGCCCCUUCAGCAUUACUUGGGAGUAUGUUUAGAAAUACAGACUCUCCUGCCCACCCCACACUUGCAGACCUGGUGAAUCAGAAUCCGAACUUUAACAAGAUCUCCAGGUAAUUCGUUUACACAUGAAAGUUUAAGAAGCACUGCCUGAGGACACCCAGCCAAGAAAAACCUGGGAAAAACAAAAAGCACUUUAGAAGUGCAAUCAAUUUUCUUUGCCCCGAUGCCCUUUCUUACUCUAAUCUCCAAACCCCAUCUCUGAAUUUCUAAAUCCUACCCUGUCUUUCUUUGCAGUCUGUGGAAAUCUGCACUGACUGUGGCAGCCGGAGGCAUCUCCUUCUCCUUUUACCUGAAUCUUUCCUUUCCGUGUAUCAUUCUGUGUUUUGCUUAUACUUGCACAUGUACACAUACUUGGGGCUAUCUGUCCUGUUGAGGCCUUGCUGGACCUGUCCUUAAAUCUUUUACAGGAUUUGGGAGGUAAGGUUGGAAUAAAGGAAGGAAGAUUGGGGAGAUAAAAUUCUAUUGAUGAAGUAAAUAGUUCUGGAAAACUUAGUUCAGCCCUACAGUGGACUGGAGCCAGGAUGAUACAGGACCCUGGGAACCAUAUUACGUCCAUCCCAGAAGAGCCUGAUACACUGUGGCAUGGAACUCCUGGGGCUAUCCAGAAACUCCCUAGAUUGGAACAGAUUCAAAUCACCCCUGUUACAAUACUUAUCAAGCAGAGGUGGCCCAAGGCAGGUAGUUUUCUAAAAACACAAUGAAAGUUCUUUUUGCUAGGGCCUUGAUCUCUGGUGGUAAACAUACUGUGGGCUAUUAUUUACUUAGUGGAAUAUUAUGUACCUUUUAGGAACAACAAAUCGGAUACCUAAUGAGAGUAUUUAUGAGACCAGCUCAAUCGAUAAAAAUCAGAACAUAAAAUCAUAUGAAAGUAUUAUUGCAACUAAUCAUGUAUUCAAUAUUAAACAUUUACUGUAUGCAAGACACUGUGCUAGGGACUGGGGAUACAGAGUGAAAAAGAUGAAUGUGAUUCUUUACAUAUGAACCUCACAGUUUAAUGAGGGAGAAAGAUAUUAAACAAGUGAAUAUACAGUUAUAAACUGUGACUUAUGCUAUGAGAUAAGGGCGUUGAUACAUAAUAGGGGAACUAAGCUGGUUGGUGUGUGGGGGGGUGUUUGUCAAGGAAACCUUUCUGAGGAAGUGAAGGAAAAACCAGUUAACCAAGGAAAGACUGGGAAAAAGUGUUUUAGAUGGAAACAAAGGAAAAGAAGCACAAAGACAAAAAGCAGUUGAGACUAUCACAGAUGAGGAAGUUCAAGCAUGGUUGAAGCACAAGGAGAAGAGAAUGGUGAAGGCUGAGAGGCCAGAUCACGUGAGGCCUCGGGAUUUAUCAUUCUAAUCCUAUGGGAAGCCACUGAAGCUUUCUUUAUGAGCAGAGGAACGGCAGGGAUCUACAUCUGAAGACCACUUUUGAGCUAUGUGGUUAAAUGGACUGAAAUAACUCAAGAUUAGAGGAAGAGAUGUCGCUUUGGAGAUCAUUGUAGCAAUUGAGGAGAAACAGGUGAAAGUGGUUUAGACUAGAUUUGAAACUGGGUAAAUGAGGGAAAGUGCACAGACUGAACUAUAUCCUGGAGAUGGGAAAAGUCAAAUUUCAAAUUUACUCAUUGAUUUGGGACUAGGGAUGGAAACGUUAACUAUACUCUCCAAACUACCUUUCUUUUCUUUUCUUUUUUUUUAAUCCAGUGCUAGGGAUGAAACCCAGGGUCUUGUGCAUGCAUGCUAGGCAAGCCCUUUACCACUACAACCCCAGCCCCUCCAAAUUACAUUCUUAAAUUAUAGGUAGAUGAUGAAGUCUUUCACUUUGGGUAUGCUCAAAAUGUAGGAAGGAAAAUGUAAAACAACAUUUUAAACACAAAGUUGAAAUUUUGUCAGAGAAAAAUGAGACAGUCAAAUAUUUAGUAUAUAAGUAUGGACACUCAGAGAAUAGAUCUGUUUGAAAAAUAUAUUAAUAUUAUAUGAGUGGCUAUUAGAGUGAUUAGGUCCAUUUUUCAGCCCUAAGGAAUAACGGUAUUAAGGAAUCUUGUUGAGCCAGACACAUAGGCAGGGACAAUUACAUUUUCCCAGAGGCAUAUUUGAUUUUAAUUUUCACCCAGAUAGAACUCAGUGUUUAACUUCUGAUGUUCUUUCAGCUACUGGAGGAGUUCUCCAAGAUCACAGAGGGAAAACACACCUUUCUAUGGUACCUCUUAUCAUCAACCAGCUUCUCUUUGUAGAGAAGUAUUCAACUGAUUUUGGUUGUACUUGGAGGUAGACCAGCAGCAAAGUUGUUCAAUUAUGUUCAGAACAGAUAUUUUUCAUCCUACCAAGAGCUACUAUCUUAGUGAGUUUAGGCUGCUAUUAACAAAGAACAAUGGAAAUUUAUUUCUCAUAAUUCUGGAGGCUGGAAGUCUAGGAUCAGGUGCUAGCCUGGCAGGUUUUGGUAAGAGACUUUUUCUGGCUUACAGAUUGCUGUCUUCUCAUUGUAUCCUCACAUGCCAGGGAAAAAACAAACAAACAAACAAAAAACACCUGCCAAAGGCUCUGCCUCUUGGCACCCUCGUGUUGGGGAUUAGGAUUCUGAUAUGUAAAAUCUGGGUUUAUGCAAACAUUCAGUCCUUCGUAGCUGUAUUGGUACUAAUGAAUGCCUAUGACCCCACUAUAGUACUAGUUUCACAUACAGGCAAAUGGUUUGCUUGAAGAUUUAGUGGGAUAGGAAAGAAAAAGAAGGUUGAUAGGAAAUUAAAGCAAAAAGUAAAAGUAGAAACACUCACAUGAGAACUGACUUAAAGUUUCUCUCAACCCCCAAGUGAAGUCUCCUUUUACAUGGAGGCUAUGCAAUGGCUUGUAAGUCACUUCCCAGUCACUGACUUCAUUUACUAAGAUAGUUAAGAAUACUGUUUAGCUGGUAUUCACUCACUUUGCUUCCUCUGUGGGACAGGAUACACUUCCCUGACCUACUGACAUUAGGUUUGGCCUUGUAAGUUGCUUUGGCAUUGGAAGUGAGAAGCUAUAAAUGCAUUUGUGUAACUUGGCUUGAGCUUUGUACACUGGUGAUCUUCCUGAGAAGAGCAUCCCCAGAUAGCUGUUCCUGCUUCAUCCUGGACCACAGAACAAACAUCAAUGGAGCAGACCUGAACUUUGUCCAAAGCCCAGAACCAAGUCCAGCCAUCUUGCAUCCUGAGGAAAUUCCCAGCCAAACCAGCCCAGAUUAACCAAGCCAUAUUAUCUGCAGAUCCAUGAGUGUUUUCUAUGUGUGUUUUUAGCCAUUGUGAUUUUCUGGUUUAAACCCUAAAGGGGAUACCAUUGAGCAAGACAUGUCAUUUAGUUGAAAAAGAACAGGGCUGUCAUGUUGAAAUGUUUGUGUCCCUUGAAAUUCAUUUGGUGAAAUUCUUACCUCCAAGGUGAUGAUGUUCAGAUGUGAGGCUUUGGGGAGAUAGUUUGGUCUUGAGAAUGGGACCCUCAUAAAUGGAAUUAGUGCCCUCAUAAAAUAGGUCCAAGGUAGCUCAUUUUCCCCUCUUACAAUGUGAAAAACACAGAAGAUACCAACUAUGAACCAAGAAAUGGGCCAUGACCAGAUACUGAAUCUACUGACACUUUGAUCUUAGAUUUCCCAGGCUCCAGAACUUGAGAAUGAAAUUCCCAUUGUUUAUAAGAUUUAUAAUUUAAGGCAUUUUUGGUAUAGCAGCCCUAAAAUGCUAAUAUGAUCUCACUUUAUAUAUUUAUAUAUUUUAUUUCAUAAAAGAUAUAUAUAUAUCUUUUAUGAAAUAAACAUACAAAAAAUACAUUGAAUUUAAAAAUAAGGUCAUUCAAAAUUAAUAGUCACGUCAUUUUCAAAUAUUCUGACUACAGUUUCCCAGACAGAAAUGUUCUUAAGUGGGAUUGCCUGAGGAGGAAGGCUGCAACAUGCUAUUAUUUGGGAACAAUUCUCCACUGGGCCCAUCCAUCCACAUUUACUACUUUUAGUGUUUAUAUAGUCAUCUAGAAAUGAUGUGGUAGGUUUUAGGUAAUUCUCUUAAGAAUUUAACAUUAGAAAGAUACCAUUUAACAUUGUGCAUCCAAUUUACAUAAUAAAUCCAUAGUCAUUGUAGCAAAACUAAAGAACACAGAAAGCAAGCAGGUAACAGACUCCAGAAAUGCACCACCUAGAGAUGAUCUUUGUUAAAAUUUCACUAUAUAUUUAUCUUUACAAAAAUACCUAUGGGUUAAGUGGAUCAAGGAGCUAGAUAUCAAAUCAGAGACUCUGCGUCUGAUAGAAGAAAAAGUUGGCUCCGAUCUACAUAUUGUAGGGUCGGGCUCCAAAUUCCUUAAUAGGACACCCAUAGCACAAAAGUUGAUAACAAAAAUCAACAAAUGGGACUUACUUAAACUGAAAAGUUUUCUCUCAGCAAGAGAAACAAUANAAUGGAGGGAGACCCUCAUUGUUAUACAAAAUUACAUAUAAGAGGUUGUGAGGGGAAUGGGAAAAUAAACAAGGAGAGAUAUGAAUUACAGUGGAUGGGGUAGAGAGAGAAGAUGGGAGGGGAGGGAGGGGGGAUGGUAGAGGAUAGGAAAGGUAGCAGAAUACAACAGUUACUAAUAGGGCAUUAUGUAAAAAUGUGGAUGUGUAACCGAUGUGAUUCUGUAAUCUGUAUUUGGGGUAAAAUUGGGAGUUCCUAACCAACUUGAAUCUAAUGUAUGAAAUAUGAUAUGUCAAGAGCUUUAUAAUGUUUUGAACAACCAAUAAAAAAAAAUUAAAAAAAAAUACCUAUGGUGCAUACUAUUCUGUAAAUGACUUUUAUCACUAAGUAUUAAGUUACAACCUUUUUCCAUGACAAUAAGAUGUAACUAGAUAAUCAUUGUUAAUGGCUGUCUCUUAUUUCAGGAGGCUGAGGCAGGAAGACUAUGUGUUCAAGGUCUGCCUCAGCAAGACCCUGCCUCAAAAUAAAAAAUAAAAAGGGCCAAGAAUGUAACUCAGUGGUAAAGCACCCCUGGAUUCAAUCCCCAAUACUAAAAAGGAAAAAAAAGAAAAGAAAAGAGAGCUUUGUCAAAAGAGGUAGGAUCCAUUUACAUCCCCUCUAGCAAUUGACUUUCAACUCAAGUUUCCAAUCAACUUGCAGUUGCUGUCAGGAAUCUUUCUCUUCUCACUUGUUCCCUUUUAUAUUUCCAAUAUCUUCUCUACUUCCAUUAUGACAAUUUGAGAGAUUCCCUUAUUACAUUUUUUUCCUGUGAUACACAAAGAAACAAAAACAUGACUCAAGAAAUGUCUUGAAGGAAAGCAAAUAAGUCAUAAUCAACAGCAAAUCACCUUCUUUCUCAGAAAAAAGAAGUCCUCUUUGCUUUUAGGAUUGUUUGGAAUAAUAUCUAUAUUAUAACCCUUUACAGUUUCAUUAUAUUAAAAAGGGAUUGUUGGAAAUGAGUCAUUUUGUACACAUUGGGAGUUUUAUAGUUAAUUUAAUGUCACUGAAUUUAAUUAACUUAAACUCUCACUUGCACACAAUAGUACUUUGGUGAUCUCUCUUUAGUCAGAGGAGAAUGCAAAAAAAAUGUACAGUUCCUUUUAGCUACAAGACCUCUUGGAAAAAUGUCUUUGGUGGAGAAACUGGGGCUCAAAUCAGUGGAUAUUCUAGCAACAGGAGAAAUAUCAUAAAAUUGUAAAAGUAUUGACGCCACCUACCAUAGAGUAAAAGAAUUAACAUAAAAUAAUAUUUUCAUGUGUCAAACCCAGUUUUUUGAAAUAAUGUAAUUUCAAAAACCCAGUCUUUUUGAAAUAGUGUAAUAAUGUAAUUUAAUCACUAAUAAAUUAAAUUACAAACCAGUGGCAGAAUUUUAAAAGAAUUAUUGCUUGAAAGUGAGAACUAGCUAACAAGCUCAUCCCUGUGUUCCCCAACUUUAGAGAUAACAAAAAUACCUACAGAAGAGAUCCUGAAUGGUUUCAUUUUAAGGAGCCAAAAUCAGAAACAAUAAUAUUUUAGAUAUUACAAAAUAAGCUAUUGCAGUGAAGAAUAUAGGGAAAACCUAAGAUUUCUUCAAGAGCAAUUCCUAAAAUGUUCUUUGUCACCUAACUAUUCAUGUGUAUUUUGAGGGAAACUAGAAGUUUUGAUUGCAAAAAUUAGACUUUAAAAGACUUUCAACCAACAUGCCUUUGCACAGCUAAUUUCUGAUUUGUUUUUAUGGCUAUUUUUUAAAAGAUUUAAGUAGAACUUUAUGCUUUAAAGUACUUUCUUGGCAAUCAUGUUUUUCUAUAUGAAGUUAAGCUCAAAAACAGUAUCCUUUUAAAAUCACUUACACUUUAAAUAAUUGGUCUCUUUUGGCCUUUUUCAUCUUGUGUAUUUUCUGACAGUUCCUUUUCAUUCAAAUUCAGUUUAACAAAUGUUUACCAAAUAACCACUUGGUAAAGACAUUGUCUUGGAGCUUCAAAUGAACUAGGAGAGUCAGAAAGCUGAGGAAGUUACUAGGGACUGGGGGUGGGGGCGAUGAGGAGUGACUGCCUAAUGGGUCUAGGACUUCCUUUUGGAUGAUGAAAAAGUUUAGGAACUACAUAAUGGUGAUGGUUGUACAACAAUUGUGAAUGCACUUAAUACCACUCUAUUACAUACUUUAAAAUGAUAAAUAUUAUGCAUUUUACUACAAUAAAAAAUCAGGCAGAAAAAAAAAAAAACUAGUAAGGUCCAUGAAGGAGAGGCAUAAGUAUUCUGCUUCAGAAAUGCAUUUAAUCAGAAAAUAUAUUUAAAUUAUCCUUCCAGUCUCACCAUUGAUUUUAUGCAGCAACUGUGUCAAAUCCAAUUUAAUAAGCAUGUAUUAUUAGGGCAGUUAUAGGCAACCACUGUACUUAAAUGUGCACAGGAAUGUUGAAAUGUGAAAUCUAUGGUCCUUGCCUUCAAGUAGCUUUCAAUUUCAUAGAGAAUAAAGAGAACUAUCAAAAAUGGGUAAUACAAGAUGGAAUAUCAUAAAAGCUAUACCGGAGAGAUGAACACAGUGCUGAGAGUGAAGAGCGUAAUUAGAUUAAUUAUUGGAGAAAGUCUCAGGGAUGACAUUGCAGUGCAUUUGGUCUUCAAGGAUGGGUAUGAUUUUUGCAAAUCUCAUAAAAAUGGCAAAGCUCAGUCUGAAUGAAAUCAAGGAGAUGAGAAAAGAUACAGAACGAAGAAAUGAAGGGUAUAGAGAAUACCAAGUAUCCUUGCUUGGCUGACUGGCAUAGUUUAGCAGGCAAACAGUGGAAGUAAUGGCUGAAGAUUUAGGAGUUUGUAUUGUAGGAUAGAGUUGAAGACAUUCAGAGUUUGAAGAUGAUUUAGAAGUAAUUUAUUCCAAGUCUCCAUCUACAAAAAUGGAUCUUCCCUACUGUGUCUGCUAAAUGGCCAUUCAGCUGCUUUUGGAAUUCCUCUAGUGACCUAGAAGUCACCAUUUUCUAAGAAAGCCUGGAUUGCCGGUAUAUGACUGACAUUGUGAGAGUUCUUUCAUUGAUCAAAAAUCUGCCACCCCACAAUUUCUGUCCUUUUAUUUUAGUUCUGCUUUUGAAAACUACAUAAGAUUAAAAGAAAACAUUUUAGUCAGGAAAUAUGGAAAUAUAGCCUCCUUUUCUCCUUUUUCAAGUGAGAUACUCUUGGGUCUUUAUUUUAUUUUUUUAAGAUGGGGUUUCCCUCUCUUGCCCCAGCUACUCUCAAACUUGUGAUCCUCCAGCCUCAGCCUUCUGAGUAGCUGAGAUUAUAGACAUGUACAGUACACCUUAAGUUGUUUUUUAUUUUCAUGCUUUCUAAGACUCCUGCCAUUCUGGUUAAUCUGUUCUCUAAUUUCCUGCAUUCCUAUUUCAAUGGGUCAACCCAGUACUGAGUUUUGUUUCUCUAGAUUUGGACUGGGUAGCAUUACUUCUGCUUGUAAUAUGGUCAUGUCUUCUAUUCAAGGUUUGGCAGGCAUAACCUUCAACAAAUAUGAAGCUUAGAGUUAACUAAUGCUUGCCUGAAUUGUUUUGUAUAAGUGCAAAUAUUAAGUCAUUACUUUUAAAUUUAGUCCUCAAGGAUUGAACUUCUAAAUUUACCAUAUAAAAUAUAAUUUAGUUAAAUUUACCUUACUAUGAGAACCUUUGAGAACCUUUAAGAUCUUGAUUUUGUCGUCUGUUAUAUUAGCUUCUCUUUUACCUUCUUUCCACUCAGUAAUUUGGUACGCAUGCCUUUAGUGUUGAUAUUCAAAACAUUAGUAGACUGUUUUAGAGAAAAUCAUAGAUGACAGAAUUUUAACCAAACACUAGAAUUUUCCUUCCAGGUAGACUUUGAAAUAUUCAUUAAUCAGGGAUCUCUAGAUCUGAACUAACUAUGAAUUUACCCAGUAUUUUAUUAUUUUUCCCACAGAUUUUGUUAUGAAGCAUAUUUUUCAGUGCAUUGCUAAAAUUAACACAGUUGCUAGGAGCUCAGGCUUCAGAGUAAAUAUUUUAGGAUUGGCAUUUCAAAGUUAGCCACUAGUCAUGAACUUGGGCAAAUUAUUUACCUUCUCUGAAUUUCAGUGUCCUUAUCUAUAAAAUGUGUGCAAAAAUUCUACCUACUUCAGAGGGUUGUUACAUGGUUUAAAUAAGGUAUUAACUGGCAAUAGUAAAAAUAGGAAAACAUUAACUAUUACUAUUAUAAUGAUUUUCUUAAUAAGUCCACAAAUUCUUUGAUACUUUUUCCUUUAAGAGGUGAUCCUAAUUUCUCUCCCAGGACAUGUGGGCUGGAUUUAGAGACUUGGUGGCUUCUAACAGAUUGAACGUGGUAUUGUUUUUCUACAAAAAAAAAAUCUUUAUGGUCACCUUUUACUACCUCUUGAAUUCUUCACUCAGGGAAGUUAGCUGCCAUGGAAUGAAGACCGUGUUUGUUAUCUAUAUCUGUCUAGCAAAUUGCCACACAUUUAGCAGCUUAAAACAGCAGCCAUUUAUUAGCUCAAAGUUCUGUGGGUCAGGAGUCCAGCCCAGUAUGGCUGGAUUCUUAGGGUAUCAUAAGACUGAAACCCCCAGCCAGGUACAGUGGCCCAAACCUGUAAUUCCAGUUGCUUGGGAGGCUGAGACAGGAGGAUUGUGAGUUCAAAGCCAGCCUCAGCAAAAGCGAUACGCUAAGCAACUCAGUGAGACCAUGUUUCUAAAUAAAAUACAAAAUAGGGGUAGGGAUGUGACUCAGUGGUCGAAUGCCCCUGAGUUCAAUCCCUGGUUACCCCCGCCCCAAGAAGAGUGAAAGCCCCAUGUUAGGAAGGCUGCACUCAUACCUGGGGCUCUAGAAAAAAACAGCUUUCAAACACAUUCUUGGUAUUGAAGGAAUUCAGUGCCUUGGAGCUAUAAGUCUGAGAUCCCUGCUCCCUGCUGGAUUUCUACUGGGAGUCACUCUGGUUCCUGGAAGCUGCCCACCCACACUCCUUGCCAUGUGGCCUCCAUUCUCAAGGCAACCCUAGCGAGUCAAAGUCUUAUCAUGCUUUCAAUCUGAGGCUUGCCCUUCUAUUGCAGUCAGAGAAGACGCUCAUCUUUUAAAGGGUUCAUUGAUACAUCAGACUUAUCUGGAUGAUCUCACUGUCUUAAGGUUGACAGAUUUGGGACCUCAAAUGCAUCUACAAAAGUUCCUGCACAGCAAUACCCUAGAUUACCAUGUGAUUAUUCACUUAAAUAUCAAUGGGAAAAGUGUGUUUGUACCAAAGUGCCAGGACUCUUUGGGCAAUGUUAUAAUUUUACCUAUCAAAGAUACUAACCAGUUUCAAGUAGGUUUCAAACCCAAGGAGUGAGGCUUCAGAGUCCCUACUGGCCCAUUGAAGUCUUAGGCUAUGUCUCUAUUGUGGACAGAAGACCACAAUAGAGAAUUGAAACUAACUAUCUUCUACAUUCUAUAUGUAUGUAUUUAAACCAAGAUUUUAUAUGCUUAGAAAAAGCUUGCAGAAGCCUACUUGAGCAAAAAUAUUCUACAGAGGAAAAUUGAAAGCAAGGAGAGUAUUUCGGUUGUUAACCAGCAGCCCUGGAUUAAAAUAAUAAUUGCCAAAAUCGCUGACCUAACAGGAGAACUAGAUAAAGAGAUUGGGUGGGAAAAUCAUUGAGGAAAUAGAAUCUACUGGAUUUAUCAAGUUGAUUUACUAUUGGGUGUUGAUUAAGAUUCCUGAUGUUUUAGGGGUCAUGAGAUAUCAAUGGGAGAGAUAUAGAAAUACACAUUAGGGAGUGACUCAGUGGUGUAAUUACUGAAGUUGUGUGGAUGACAUCCUAUGGAAGUUUAAAGGAAAAAAAGAACUGAGUGAAGAAUGUUUAAAUUUAGACAUGUUGCAAGUAUAAAGUCAGAAGGAGGAAGACAUAAACAGCAAUUUUAAAAGUAGGGGAGAGAAGAGUUAAGAAGGAGAAGAGAGUUUCAAGAAGGAAGGGGAUGAUACCAAUUUAGACUGUAUCUUAAGGUUAGUGAGGGUGAGGACAAAGAAGUCAUAUUACAAUAAAUUUAAAAGUAUAUUGUAAAAAGGAAGGAGAUAGGUAGUAUAUUUCUUAGUUCAGCCAUCUGGGGAAGCUGACAUGAAAAAUAAAUCAAAUGUUUCUCCAAAAGUUGAGGAAAAUGAUCUGGUCUCCCAAAAACCAUUCCAGUUCUAAUAUUCUUCUCUGGAGCUAGAGAAAACUCGCAGAAUUUCAAGGGACAGUUAGUCAAGAAUUUCUCUUACUGGCAAUUGUUCAUUUAAUUUCUUGCCAACAAUAACAAUGCUGCAUCUUAAGUGCUUCCUGAAUUUAAAACUCUGGACUCAUAAUUUGAGCAUUGGUCAUUCACUGCUCUGAAAGCCACCUCGAGGCUGCUCUGGUAUCAGACAUACCUAUCAUCCAUCCAUGGGUCACCUUUCUCCCAUCCACCCCCAACACCACCAUCCAGCAACCAAAUCACCCUGGACAAAAUGGGCUUCUAAAGACCUGGGGAUAAGGGGUCACUACGUCAUCCAAACACUCUAAACAAGAUUACAGUACACAGGAGCAGUGGGCACCUGGUAGAACCACAAUGAAUGGGUUUGAAUAAGUAAUGUCAUGUUCUUGUCUCCUUCCUUCAUCCCAUGUGUCAACCAGUUUUACUGAAGGCAGUGUUUUUGUUUCACAAGAACAGACAUGCCAUUGUUAAUCUCACGCUCUUCUUUUUUGUUCUAACUUUUGCUAAUUCAUCAGGCAAAUUAAAAAUCAAACUCUCAAACAUUCUCUUUCUCAGCCCACUUCUUCAGUUUUUCAUAUUGCUCAAUAACCAGCCUUAAUCAAUUCUGAUAAAAAAAAAUGAGAGAACACUGAUUUUAUACCUUAUGAAGAAAACUAAGUUUAUAUACUUGGAAGUUAAAUUGGGCAUUGUGAAGAAUGAAUUCCAUUAACUUCAAAAAUUUCAUGAAAGUUAGAUGCUAUUUCACUGAAAACUCAGAGAAUUACCCUAUAUAUUUUUACAGUCCUGUAGAUCAUGUGUUUUCUUAAGCACCAAUAUUCUGACUCUCUCUAUGCAUUGACAUUGUAGAAGUUCUUUUUUUUACUGUUUUUCAUUGUGAAUGUCUAAUAAUUCAGAUAUAAGAAAUAUAGGAUUUCAUAUUAUCCUGAGAUUCAGAUAUAAUUAUCUUUAAUCCUAGUGCCAGAGGAAAAUGAAAUCUAUGUUUCUAAGAAGUGAUGUUCAAGUUUAAAGCACAAACUCUUUGGUUGUUGAAGACUGUGCAUAUGUGUUCAAAAUACAAUUAAACAUCUUUUCCAUAAAUUAACCAAUCUGAAUGUUUUGCCAUUAUCUGCUGGAGUAGUUUUACAGUGACAUAUCACCACAAUCCCUCUGUCCUGAAUUUAGGAAAGUGGCAAUUCAGCACGGUCAGGAUUAUGCCUUUGUACCUAGACAGUUCUUAUUCAAACCUUUUUAGCUCUGUGGUUCUGGGGAAAUAAUCUAACUUCUUUUAACUUCAGCUUCCUAUUUGGGGAACUAGGAAUAAUAUUAUUAUAUCAUAUCAAUAGAAUUACUGUUAUUAUUAGGUCAGAUCUUGUAUGAUAAACUCCUGGAACAUAGAAGGCACUCAAUAUUACUAUUUCCUAAGAGUAGGAUGAUGGUCUUUUUUUAACAAAAGCAUGCACCCAUAUCAGUAAAAAUAUUUUCAUCAUAUAUCCCUAGUUAAUUUAUUUUGGUGAUACUAGGGAUUAAACCCAGGGCCUUGUGCAUGCUAUAUAAGUGCUCAACCACUGUAUUUCUUAGAUACCUUUAUACAUGUUGCUUCUAGACUUAUAAAGCUUGGGCAUACACCAUAAAAUAAAAAUCUACAAAAGAAUACAACAAAAAUAAAAUAAACAUUACUUAAAUUUUUUUUUAAAUAUAUGAAGUGAAAAUGGAAUACUGUUGCAUUUAAAAAUUUUCUAACAGUUCCAAACUCUAAUGCAACGUUUUGUAUUAAAAAAAUUAGAAACUUUCAUUGCCAAGUUUUUUGCAUGUAGAAUUAAAAAUGUUAAUGGGUGAUAUAAUUUUCACACAUAAUCACAUAGUGAUAUAAACAUUUCUAAACACUCUUUUUCAGUAUACUGCUCGCACAGCACUCAAAAAAAGAAGCAGGUUGUUUUUUGUAAACUCAUUAUUGAAGUAUCACCUUUACCUUGAGGGGACAUGUUAGUGUGUGUGUGUGUGUGUGUGUGUGUGUUCAUUAAUAACUGUAGGAGGUUUACUUCUGACAGAACUUGUUAUCAAAGGAAGUGCCAGCAAAUUUCCUUUUUCUUUUUUAUGUUUGCUAGGAUGCUCAGUUUUAGCAGCCAUUUUGCAUCACAGAAAAGAUCAGUGAAUUUGGAGCACAUGUCUUUUUUGUAGACAAAAACUAUAUAAUUCAUGUUUAAUUUGACAAGAGUUUGAAAUAUUUUGCCACUAGAUAACCAGUGAAACUCUCCACAGUACAAAAUAAUUUCAGAUACUCCUCAUGAAUACAUAUUUUAUUUAACAGGUUUAUAUGCUUCUUACUUUUUGCCAGGCACUGGGUUAAGCACUUUAUAGAUGUUAAUUCAUUUAAUCUCAUAACACCAUUCUGCAUUUGGCUUCAUUUUCAUUUUACAGAUGAGAUAACUGAGGCAGGGAGAUGUUAAAUACGUAGCAAGAAAUUUGUUCAAAAGUUGUUUAAGUUUUGGCUCCAGCCAUUUUGACUUUACCUCCUUCACUUUUGACAACUAGACCCAGUUCCUGGAAUUUUACUGAUGAAGAAAAAAUAACCUUUACACUUACUUCCCAGGUCAUGUAAAUUACAAUUCAUUGCAGUAUUCCAGAAACAAAGAUUGAGCAAGCUGGGUGUGUUGUCACACACCUGUAAUCCCAGCGGCUCAGGAGGCUGAGACAGGAGGAUUGUGAGUUCAAAGCCAGCCUCAGCAAAAGCAAAAUGCUAAGCAACUCAGUGAGACCCUGUCUCUAAGUAAGACACAAAAUAGGGCUGGGGAUGUGGCUCAAUGGUUGAGUGCCCCUGAGUUCAAUUCCCAGUACAAAAAAGAGAUUGAGUGAAGUUGGUAUCAGUGCCCUACUGUCAUGGAACCCUUAUUUCCUGUGGAGAUCUCUUAGGUUAUAUACACAUGUGACCAUCUAACAUGUGGGCCAUGUGAGGGAUGGGGGAAAAUACUAUAGCCUUAAUCUGUGUCUCAGUUUUUAUAUGUGUGCAAGUAGUUGUUCUAAUAUUUUCUUCUUGGAUUCUAAUAAAUUAUCUUGUAUCCCCCCUCUUAUGCACCUUAUUGUGGAGAUUACUGCUGGAGAGCAUCAAUAUAUAUGGAAGAUUGGUCUGUGUCUGCUUCCAAGGUUGGAGUUAUAUAUUUAAUGUGUAUGUAUUUCAGAAGGAAGGAGACAAGAACAUGACAUUACUUAUUCAAACCCAUUCAUUGUGGUUCUACCAGGUGCCCACUGCUCCUGUGUACUGUAAUCUUGUUUAGAGUGUUUGGAUGACGUAGUGACCCCUUAUCCCCAGGUCUUUAGAAGCCCAUUUUGUCCAGGGUGAUUUGGUUGCUGGAUGGUGGUGUUGGGGGUGGAUGGGAGAAAGGUGACCCAUGGAUGGAUGAUAGGUAUGUCUGAUACCAGAGCAGCCUCGAGGUGGCUUUCAGAGCAGUGAAUGACCAAUGCUCAAAUUAUGAGUCCAGAGUUUUAAAUUCAGGAAGCACUUAAGAUGCAGCAUUGUUAUUGUUGGCAAGAAAUUAAAUGAACAAUUGCCAGUAAGAGAAAUUCUUGACUAACUGUCCCUUGAAAUUCUGCGAGUUUUCUCUAGCUCCAGAGAAGAAUAUUAGAACUGGAAUGGUUUUUGGGAGACCAGAUCAUUUUCCUCAACUUUUGGAGAAACAUUUGAUUUAUUUUUCAUGUCAGCUUCCCCAGAUGGCUGAACUAAGAAAUAUACUACCUAUCUCCUUCCUUUUUACAAUAUACUUUUAAAUUUAUUGUAAUAUGACUUCUUUGUCCUCACCCUCACUAACCUUAAGAUACAGUCUAAAUUGGUAUCAUCCCCUUCCUUCUUGAAACUCUCUUCUCCCUCUUAACUCUUCUCUCCCCUACUUUUAAAAUUGCUGUUUAUGUCUUCCUCCUUCUGACUUUAUACUUGCAACAUGUCUAAAUUUAAACAUUCUUCACUCAGUUCUUUUUUUCCUUUAAACUUCCAUAGGAUGUCAUCCACACAACUUCAGUAAUUACACCACUGAGUCACUCCCUAAUGUGUAUUUCUAUAUCUCUCCCAUUGAUAUCUCAUGACCCCUAAAACAUCAGGAAUCUUAAUCAACACCCAAUAGUAAAUCAACUUGAUAAAUCCAGUAGAUUCUAUUUCCUCAAUGAUUUUCCCACCCAAUCUCUUUAUCUAGUUCUCCUGUUAGGUCAGCGAUUUUGGCAAUUAUUAUUUUAAUCCAGGGCUGCUGGUUAACAACCGAAAUACUCUCCUUGCUUUCAAUUUUCCUCUGUAGAAUAUUUUUGCUCAAGUAGGCUUCUGCAAGCUUUUUCUAAGCAUAUAAAAUCUUGGUUUAAAUACAUACAUAUAGAAUGUAGAAGAUAGUUAGUUUCAAUUCUCUAUUGUGGUCUUCUGUCCACAAUAGAGACAUAGCCUAAGACUUCAAUGGGCCAGUAGGGACUCUGAAGCCUCACUCCUUGGGUUUGAAACCUACUUGAAACUGGUUAGUAUCUUUGAUAGGUAAAAUUAUAACAUUGCCCAAAGAGUCCUGGCACUUUGGUACAAACACACUUUUCCCAUUGAUAUUUAAGUGAAUAAUCACAUGGUAAUCUAGGGUAUUGCUGUGCAGGAACUUUUGUAGAUGCAUUUGAGGUCCCAAAUCUGUCAACCUUAAGACAGUGAGAUCAUCCAGAUAAGUCUGAUGUAUCAAUGAACCCUUUAAAAGAUGAGCGUCUUCUCUGACUGCAAUAGAAGGGCAAGCCUCAGAUUGAAAGCAUGAUAAGACUUUGACUCGCUAGGGUUGCCUUGAGAAUGGAGGCCACAUGGCAAGGAGUGUGGGUGGGCAGCUUCCAGGAACCAGAGUGACUCCCAGUAGAAAUCCAGCAGGGAGCAGGGAUCUCAGACUUAUAGCUCCAAGGCACUGAAUUCCUUCAAUACCAAGAAUGUGUUUGAAAGCUGUUUUUUUCUAGAGCCCCAGGUAUGAGUGCAGCCUUCCUAACAUGGGGCUUUCACUCUUCUUGGGGCGGGGGUAACCAGGGAUUGAACUCAGGGGCAUUCGACCACUGAGUCACAUCCCUACCCCUAUUUUGUAUUUUAUUUAGAAACAUGGUCUCACUGAGUUGCUUAGCGUAUCGCUUUUGCUGAGGCUGGCUUUGAACUCACAAUCCUCCUGUCUCAGCCUCCCAAGCAACUGGAAUUACAGGUUUGGGCCACUGUACCUGGCUGGGGGUUUCAGUCUUAUGAUACCCUAAGAAUCCAGCCAUACUGGGCUGGACUCCUGACCCACAGAACUUUGAGCUAAUAAAUGGCUGCUGUUUUAAGNAGACACAACAAAUAUAGAACAUUUCUAUCAUCCUAAGAAAGUGCUGCUAGAAGCACUGGAUUAGACUAUAAAACAUUUGAGCGAAUUUUAUUCAAGAACUAGCAGUGGUAGCUGACAGAAUGAUACACAGCACUCCCAAAAUGUUCAAUUUGGAGGAGGAAGAGGAAAACAGACUAUCAUUCAAUCCAAGAUAAAUAAUGGAAACCACUAAAUGGAAGAAAUUGUCAGCCAACUUAGUAAGGUUGGAGAGAGAGCAAGCCUUUUGUGGAAUGUGGGCCUAACCAUUCAUUUGAAACAAUGCUACACAUUAGUGGAAAUCAAAACUUGUGAGAAUACUUUGUUUGCAGCAGGGAGAAGUUUCACACUUUUUAAAAGGAGUAUUACCUUCUGAAGUGUGUGUUUUAAUAUAAGGACCCUCCCUUUUUAAUUUUGGAUUGUCUGCCUGGUCUCUUUGAAACAGGUAUUUACAUCAAGUGUUAGCUCAAAUGACAAGAUGAUUGAAGUUAUAGACAUUAUCUGCAUGGCUGACUAUCAUAGUCUGAAUACUUUCCAUAUUUACGGAAUUUCCCCAUUGAAAGUCCCACUAAUGUUGAAGCUGAAACUCAAAGCUCUUACUUUCUCCUGUUGCUGAGACUUGGGCAAGAGACCCAGGCUUCACCAAAUCAGACAUAGGCUCCAUGUGGUAUGUCAGUGGCUGCCAUAGUGGGUGGUAAGCGAGGAUGUCCAGUUUUGAUAGUGGUGGCAAGACUAAUGCCUGCUGUGGAAGUGGCCGUGGUGCUGGUCAUUUCAUCCGGUUCCUAGCAUUUGAUUCUUAGCGCCCGGGAUGGUAACGGCAGCUCCCUAGUCACACAGUUCUGUGGUUUAUUGUUUGCGAUUAUUCCUCAAAGCUAACCUCCAGCCUGUUUCUCUGGCUCUCCCAUUUUCUGUGAGCUAGUGAAUACCCUUUAAUAAGUCCCUUUUCUGUUAGAACUAGCCAGAAUGGAUUUUGUGGUUGAGUUGAGAACUCUGAUGACACAGGCAAUGAUGUCAACGCAAGUUUUUAACUCAGUUAUCAAUUUACUCAAUAUGUACUUAUCAUAUGCAUUCUGAGCUCAGAGGUAGGGUCUCACUGAGGUAUCUGAUUAGAGAAUGUAGGAGUGGUGAUAGUUAAGGAGAAAUAAAAUAUAGGAAGUGAGACAGGUGUUGGACAUGUUGAGAUGGGGAAGAUGCUCCUUUUAGACCACCCCAAAUCCAAUCUGUCAGUAAAUCCUCACAAUUGUAUCUCUUACAUGUCGUUCCUGUACUGCUUUUCUCCUUUCACAGACUUUCACUUAUUUGAACAACAGCAAACUCCAGUUUUUGUUAUUUCUAAUUAAAUUAUUGAAAUAGCCAGUUGCUACAACUAAGCCCAUGUAGUUCCUCCCCCAGCAUGCUGUCACCUGCCAACGCUUCUACCAUUCUGAGAACCUAGAGAAAUUGUCCUUCCCAUUGGUCACUUGGAAAACUCCUAUUUAUAUUUUAAAAAUGUAGAUCAUCGUUUCUAUCUCAUUCUAUUGUAUGAUAAUUAUGAGGUUAUUUAUUUGACUUACCCACCUGGCAUUAUUUAUCCAACUAGAGGACAUUAUCCUGUUUAUUUACUGUUAUUUCUCCAGCACUGUCUCAGGGCUUGGUGUCUAACACAUACACAACUAGUACUUGUUGAAUGAACAAAUGACUUGUAAUUGUUUAUUUAUGUUUCUCUCCUUGUUCGGUCUAUAAACUUCUUCACAAUAGUACAAUGUUGGUGUAUAAUAGAAACUCAAUAAUCACAUCAUAUAUACUAAUGGAAUGCCUGCAUGUUAUCUGCUGUAAUAGCUGGUGGCGAUCAAAAUUAUUAUCUAAUUCUCAGACAGAAGCUAGGGCUGUAAGUUUGGGCUUUGGGAUCAUCAGGCAGUGGCUUCUGGUAGGCCUGUAAAAUCUUCUCAGAUCAAUGACUAUUGGGAGUAUAAGUAACCUACAGCCUCAGCUGCUGUACUUUGCAAUCCUUUCCUUGCUUACAAAUGGAGCCAACCUUCCCAAGGGUUACCCCCAGACAAUGCGUUGGUGUAGAAGGUAUGCUAGAGAAGGCCCAUUGCUGAGAGACGGGGAACUUCUAUGGUAAGAGACUUUGGCAUAAGAACUCUCUGGGAACCUUGGUGAACAAUCCUUAGAACAUCACCACAGUUAAUCCUUCCUUUUCUCCUCCACUUGGGGUCAGAAUGGCACUGCAACCUGUUGGGCCUCCCAGCCUUUGUAAGCUUCUUUCCCAUUUUCUCUCAUAGGCAUUUCUCUACAUAAAUUUCUUGAACAUACAGUCUUGUCCUGGCUUCUGCUUCUCAGGGAAUGUAGACUAACACAUUGGCGAAGCCAUAGAAGUAGAUUGUCAUUUAAGGAGAGUCAUGGAAUGAGAAGAGGUAAGAACUAGAAAGACACGCUUACAGGCCAUUAAUACUUGUGGGGUGGGAAAGAGUACCAUGCAGAUCCCUUAAGAAGAGUGAUAAGUAGGCAGUCCAUCAACAUGAGAUGUUCCAGAACAGGCCAGCACUGAGUACUUUAUUCCAGAGAUUAGGCACAGCAAAAGUUAAAUAUUUACAAGGAAAAGCAAGAAAUGUUCUAAAAUUAGGAUGGUGAUAAAAAAGAGAACAGCUGAGGUCAAGAAUUAUUUGUCUUUUUAGAAAUUUAAUACUUAAAGACAAGAUAAAUAAUUAAAAUAAAAGGAAUAGUAAAAGUAUAUGUUUACCUAUUUAAAUUCAUAGAAAUCAACAUUUUAAAAACUGAUUUGCAAUAAUAAUAAUAAUAACAAUAAUAAUAAUACUGACCUGAAAGUAGAAGAGUAGAACUACUAGGGGUAAAGAAGGGGAAAGAAGGAGAGGAGAGAAAGGGGAGGACAAGACAGUGUAGAAGAGAAGUUGGACAUGGUCAAAGCAUAGUAUAUACACAUAUGGAAAUAUCACAGUGAAACUCAGGAAUCUGUACAAUUAAGAUGCAUUGAUAAGAAUAAAAAAUAAAAACCCAAUUUGCAUCUAGGGAAGUAUACCUCUGAACUUCACAUUACUACCUCCUCUGUUUUCUAUUUGUCUUUUUCUUAUUAUCCCCUGUGAUAUCAUUUGGUGGACAAUAUGCCAGACAGAAGUAGUAAGGGAGUAUAGUCAGAUGAAUAAAUGCUUCCCCUAAUCGUGGGAAUCAAUGUAGAAAUAGUUAACUCAAAAGAGAUGCUAUGAAAAGUGGGUAAGAACAGGACCACUGUAAAUCACUUUAAGGGAGAAAGGCUUUGAGUAGGAGCUUCCUUUUGGGAGGGGGUGAAUAGUGGGUGUAGCUCAGUGGUAAAGCGCUUCCCUAAUGUACUCGAGGCCCUGAGUUCAAUUCCCAGUACUACAAACUUAGAAAGAGAGAGAGAGCUAGAGAGGGAGAGAGACAGAGAGCACAAGAGCAUGAGCACGAAUGAGAGGGAUUUGCCAAAGACCCAGAGGGUAAGCUCCGUGUGGGCAGAGCUUCCUGUUUGCUAUUUUCAAUGCUGGAGACUCAGUGACAAAAAGAAUACAUGUCACUUGGGAGGCAUUCAGUAAAUUAUAUUUUUCAUACCAAUAGGCCCAUUACUUUGUGCAUAAUAUGCCAAGAUUAUAUAAUUGUAGGGGUGGUAGCUUCAAGCUCUCUUCAAUGCUGCUAAACAUGAAUAAAAGUGUCAAUUUUGUAAACAUCACUCAUUGUUCUCAUUUUAUAAUCUCUAACAUAAUAUGAUUAUAAAUGACAUUCUAAAUGGAUCUGACUAUGAAGAAGGAAUGCACUAAUCAUACCAACUCAAGAAAAUCGGUCCAUGUGAUAUUUAUGUUUCAUAGGCAAAUUAAUGUAUUGACAUUCUGGUUUUACACAUUGAACUCUUAUAUGAGUUUAGUCUUCAGAAACUGAUCUACACUUUGUUUUUGAAAUUAUGCACAGGCCAGCUAUGUUAGUCAAUUUUCUGUUACUAUAAUAAAUAUUUGAGAUAAUCUACUUAUAAAGAGAAAUGUUUUAUUUGGGGUCAUUGUUUUGGAGGGUCCAGUCCACGACUGAUCAGCUCUGUUGUUUUGGGAUUGCAGUGAGGCAGCACAUCAUGGCAGAACUUGCUAGAACAGAAACAGUCUCUCACCUCAUGGUCAGAAUGCAAAAGAGAGGAAGAGGAAGGGGCCAGGAUCACACUAUCCCCUUUGAGGAUACUCCCACAAUGACUCCUAAUAGAGCCGUGUGGGCUGGGGACUAAGCCUUUAACACGUGGACCUUUGGUAGACACUUACCCAAACCAUAGCAUCCACAUAGCCUUAUUUGAAAUGUUGAUGCCACUUUCUCACCGUGUUCUUUUUUCCUUCUAGUAGGUUGUAUCAGCUUGUAUGGCACCAUCCCAAGGAUGCAAGAGUGGAAACUGCAAUACUUCUUCAGAUCUAAGUUGCAAAACUUGCACAUCAUUGCUGAUACAGUUUAUUAUUCAAAGCAAAUUACAAGGUCAUCCCAGACUAAAGGAGUGGAGAAAAAGACUCUACCAUCUGACGAGAGAAAUUACACAAUCAUGUGGCAGUACUUUCUAGUUGCUAUAGCCUACCCUGUGGCCACAGUUAUUUACAUUCUUUCUGUAUGUAAAAUAUGCUCACUCUUCCCUAAAAGGCCUCAUCCCAUUCUGACUCAGGCUCAAAAUUUUAAAAUAUUAUCAUCUAAAUGUAGAUUACAUGUAGAUGAGGAUCCCUGGUCGAACUCUUGGGUAUGAAUCCUGUUCCAGAGAUUUGUGAAUUAAAAAAACAAGCUAUCUACACUUCACAACCCAAAUAGAAAAUUGCAGUGAUGCUCCGAUUCACAAGGCAGAGAAACAGGAAACACAGAGCAAUAACUAGAAUAUAGGAAUUCUGAAGUCUAGCCAGGUACACUGACAGUUCCCUGUGUUUCAGGACAGAUACAUCCCUUGAUUAGAGCACACUCUGCUUUCUGAAUGGUCCCCUAGCCCAGUAUUCUUCAUCAUUUCAUGCAUUGAUCCAUUGAGAAGUCUGUGAAUUCCACCUCCUUAAUAUUUCUUAAAAGAAUGAAAUUAUGUCAUUUGCUGGUAAAUGGAUGGAAAUGGAGAAUAUCUUGCUAAGUGAAAUAAGCCACACUUAGAAAGACAAGAGUCAAAUAUUUUCUUUCUCUCUCUCUCUCUCUCUCUCUCUCUCUUUCUCUUCAGAAAAAAUAAAGGUUGUGGGGGGAAUCUCACAAUAAUAGAAAAUAAUAGAAGGGAAAACAAUAGCAUAGAGGAAGGGGAUGCGGGGAAGAGUGAGAGUGAGCAAGACAGGAAGGAGGGGAGGGCAUAGGGAGUACUUGUGUUAGAAAUCUACCAAAUUAUGCUAUGACCAUGUAUGAAUAUACCACAAUGUACAUAUAUAUAAUUAUAAUGCACUAAUAAAAAUAAUAAUAAUAAUAGGAGAGAGAGCAGUAGAGUAGAAAAGGUGGAUCAGAGGAAGGGAGGAAGGGGGAAAAGGAAGGUACUGGGGAAUGAGAUUGAUCAAAUUAUGUUAAGUGCAUGUGUGAAUAUGGCAUAAUGGAUUCUGCUAUUAUUUGUUAUUACAAUGUACCAAUAAAAACCCUUCCAAUCUAUUAAUAAUGCCACUACUUUGAGGCCUUUAUGAUUUAUUUUGCCUUUACAAUUGAAAUGAUUUCCCUGCCAACUGUUUCUUUCUUUAGUGCACCAGAAAGUUCUUUGGAAACACAAAUCUGAUAAUGUAUUUUCAUUGCUUAAGAUUUUUCCAGUGGUUCUGGUAGCGUUCUUUUUCUUAAUGUAGGUGUUGAUUACACAGCUGUGUUUGCUUUGUGAAAAUUUAUUGAGCUGUAAACAUAUGAAUUAUGUACUUUCUGCAUAUAUGACUUAAAUGAAAAGGUUAUAUUUAAUAAUCCUCCCAUAGUUUCCCAUUGUAUCCAGGAUAGAGUCAAAACUCUUAGCACAAUACAUAAAGCCUGUCAGGACUCCUAUGUUUCCAAAUUCCUGUUAUUGCCCCUAACUUCCCAUGGAUAAUACCUUGUCUUCUGCA